CUGAAUUGUCAACAAGGGUUGUUGCUGGUCCUCAGUUGAGGACAUGUGCACACUCUGUUAACACAUCCACUCACACCUGUGCACCCUCUGUAGUUCCAUGGCUGGGGGGCCCUGUUCCCCUCCUGUGGUUCUGCGUCUCUUUACACACGCAAUGUAAUAAAAGUCUUAUGGAAUGUAUGCCGUGAUUAACGCAAUACAAUA
rnacentral:misc_RNA from 1 species